GAAUGUGAGGGCGACCUGGCUGUCUGUCACCCCAUUGAUCAGCAGGGUUGAUUCCGCUAAUUUGGCUGACUAAGUGGAUGUCCCCUUCCUCCCUCACCGCUCCAUGUGCUUUCCUCCCUGUGUGCUGGGUCAAAGUGGAUGACUCUUUCUGAUAGAGGAGGACCGUUCGUUGGUCAAGCGUAUGUGAGUGGCUGCGCUCCCCGGCCAGAACCUCCACACAUGCUCUCAAAAUGAAGAGGAAGGGCAGAUGGAAUAAUGAUUAAAAAUUUUAGUCCCUGGGGAAAAACCCCCUCAGG
rnacentral:snRNA from 1 species